rnacentral:rRNA from 1 species
UACGAAGGGUGCAAACGUUGCUCGGAAUUAUUGGGCGUAAAGCGCACGUAGGCGGCUUAGCAAGUCGGAUGUGAAAUCCCUCGGCUCAACCAAGGAAGUGCAUCCGAAACUGCUGAGCUUGAGUACUUAAGAGGAUCGCGGAAUUCCCGGUGUAGAGGUGAAAUUCGUAGAUAUUCGCAAGAACACCAAUGGCGAAGGCAGCUCGCUGGAACGGUACUGACGCUGAGGCGCGAAAGCG